GGACCGGUAGUUCAGUUGGUUAGAAUGCCGCCCUGUCACGGCGGAGGUCGCGGGUUCGAGUCCCGUCCGGUCCG
rfam:Chitinophagaceae bacterium IBVTCB1 contig000001, whole genome shotgun sequence.